UAAUUUUAUUAGGAAAACUUUUAUUGUCGCAUGUACAAUGGAUACAUUUUGUUUAAGGAAAUGUUUAUCAACAUUAUGGCGAACAUUAUGCAUGGGUGAUGAAUAUACAAAUGAUACAUAUACAAUACAAUUCAAUAAGUUAAAAUGUAUAUAACAAUUAUAACAGUGUUAAAUGAAUAUAAUACAUAGACAAAACAAAAAACUCAUCAGUUAUAAGAAGUUAUAUUAUAAAGUCUCUUUUUUACUUGAUUCUCUCACAACAGUGGUUUGAAUAUAUAUUGAAUGUAAUGCUUCAAUUUUAUAGCAAAACUUGAAUUGAUCUAAAAUAUUUUUUUUCUUUUAAAACCUACAAAUGAAUUCAGUUGAAAACAAGAUACUG